rnacentral:rRNA from 1 species
AAAUGAUACAUAAUGAAACUGCGAAUGGCUCAUUAAAACAGUUAUAGUUUAUUUGGUAAUCGAAUUUACAUGGAUAACCGUGGUAAUUCUAGAGCUAAUACAUGCUGCUAAGCCCAACUUUUAGGAAGGGCUGUAUUUAUUAGAUAACAGACCAAUAUUCUUCGUGUCUAUUGUGGUGAAUCAUAGUAACUGAUCGGAUCGCAUGGGCUUGCCCGCGACAAACCAUUCAAGUUUCUGCCCCAUCAGCUUUCGAUGGUAGUGUAUUGGACUACCAUGGCUUUCACGGGUAACGGAGGAUUAGGGUUCGAUUCCGGAGAGGGAGCCUGAGAAACGGCUACCACUUCUAAGGAAGGCAGCAGGCGCGUAAAUUACCCAAUGCUAAUUCAGCGAGGUAGUGACAAGAAGUAACGGGCUGGAGUUAUACUCCGGGACUGAAAUGAGUUUAAUUUACACCACUUUUCGAGGAUCAAUU